rnacentral:ncRNA from 1 species
CUCUGGAGAGCCCGCAUUUGCGGCACCGAAGGAGUAAGCCUUUUUUUGGUAAAAGGCGAAUCUCUCAGGUCUAUGUACAGAG